AUUGAACGCUGGCGGAAUGCUUUACACAUGCAAGUCGAGCGGCAGCGCGGUCUUCGGACUGGCGGCGAGCGGCGAACGGGUGAGUAAUACAUCGGAACAUGCCCAGUCGUGGGGGAUAACACUUCGAAAGAAGUGCUAAUACCGCAUACGUCCUGAGGGCGAAAGCGGGGGGUCGCAAGACCUCGCGCGAUUGGAGUGGCCGAUGUCAGAUUAGCUAGUUGGUGGGGUAAAGGCCUACCAAGGCAACGAUCUGUAGUUGGUCUGAGAGGAUGAUCAGCCACACUGGGACUGAGACACGGCCCAGACUCCUACGGGAGGCAGCAGUGGGGAAUUUUGGACAAUGGGGGCAACCCUGAUCCAGCCAUUCCGCGUGAGUGAAGAAGGCCUUCGGGUUGUAAAGCUCUUUCGGCAGGAACGAAACGGCGAGCUCUAACAUAGCUCGCUAAUGACGGUACCUGAAGAAGAAGCACCGGCUAACUACGUGCCAGCCGCCGCGGUAACAC
rnacentral:rRNA from 1 species